CGUGCACCAGUGUGGUCCCUCAGCCUGGCCUGCGCCCUCUCGUAAUCCGGGACCCCUUGGGGGAUGUUGGAGAGCCAAUAUUGGCCUGAUCCCUGCAGGCCAGGCUGAGGGACCCCACCGGUGCAUG
rnacentral:pre_miRNA from 1 species